UGACAGAAGCGGUGCAUGGAACAGCUGCACUGCGCAGCAAAACGCCAGAACCUGGAAGUUCCUAACCUACAGGUGUUACUGCUGUGUGUCACUAUUCAAAUGGAAUUAUACAUACUGCAUGUAAGAAGACAAAACGUGGCCUAAAAUGAAUCUGGGAGAUGAUCAAUGUACUGAAGUGACAGUUUGCAGAGCUGGCACCCUCUGGAAUGCGUGGGAGGUUGGCCGAGAGCUCCAUUCACCUCGCACAGAGCGACUGGACUUGCACCUACAGGAAAAAGCUGAAACUUUGGGGCUCUCAAGUGAUAACAAUCAUGGAGAAAGACCAGCAACACACAGAGGGGUUGGUUUGCUGAAGGAUUUUGAUUUGAACUUGUGUCAAAAGUGAAUUUGAGCUAAGAGAGAUUCUUAAGAGUUAGAAUGACACGUGCAACACAUACCCAGGAACUGCAGUGCCA